GAUGAACGCUAGCGAUAGGCUUGACACAUGCAAGUCGAGGGGCAGCAUGGUCUUAGCUUGCUAAGACUGAUGGCGACCGGCGCACGGGUGCGUAACGCGUAUGCAACUUGCCUCACAGAGGGGGAUAACCCGUCGAAAGACGGACUAAUACCGCGUACACUCCAUCUUGGGCAUCCAAGGUAGAGGAAAUGAAAUUCGCUGUGAGAUAGGCAUGCGUCCCAUUAGCUAGUUGGUGAGGUAACGGCUCACCAAGGCGACGAUGGGUAGGGGAACUGAGAGGUUGAACCCCCACACUGGUACUGAGACACGGACCAGACUACUACGGGAGGCAGCAGUGAGGAAUAUUGGUCAAUGGGCGAGAGCCUGAACCAGCCAAGUCGCGUGAAGGAUGACUGUCUUAUGGAUUGUAAACUUCUUUUAUACGGGAAUAACAAGAGUCACGUGUGACUCCCUGCAUGUACCGUAUGAAUAAGCAUCGGCUAACUCCGUG
rnacentral:rRNA from 1 species